GAUGAACGCUGGCGGCGUGCCUAAUACAUGCAAGUCGAGCGAACAGAUGAGGAGCUUGCUCCUCUGACGUUAGCGGCGGACGGGUGAGUAACACGUGGAUAACCUACCUAUAAGACUGGGAUAACUUCGGGAAACCGGAGCUAAAACCGGAUAAUAUAUUGAACCGCAUGGUUCAAUAGUGAAAGACGGUUUUGCUGUCACUUAUAGAUGGAUCCGCGCCGCAUUAGCUAGUUGGUAAGGUAACGGCUUACCAAGGCAACGAUGCGUAGCCGACCUGAGAGGGUGAUCGGCCAAACUGGAACUGAGACACGGUCCAGACUCCUGCGGGAGGCAGCAGUAGGGAAUCUUCCGCAAUGGGCGAAAGCCUGACGGAGCAACGCCGCGUGAGUGAUGAAGGUCUUCGGAUCGUAAAACUCUGUUAUUAGGGAAGAACAAAUGUGUAAGUAACUAUGCACGUCUUGACGGUACCUAAUCAGAAAGCCACGGCUAACUACGUG
rnacentral:rRNA from 1 species